GUUGCACACGAGAGUGGGGACUCAGGCGGGACGCCGGUGACAAACCGGAGGAAGGUGGGGACGGACGUCAAGUCAUCAUGGCCCUUAUGUCCUGGGCUACACACGUGCUACAAUGGCCGGUACAGAGCGCAGCGAGGCCGCGAGGCGGAGCGAAUCGCUUAAAGCCGGUCCCAGUACGGAUUGGAGUCUGCAACCCGACUCCAUGAAGUUGGAAUCGCUAGUAAUCGCGCAUCAGCAUGGCGCGGUGAAUACGUUCCCGGGCCUU
rnacentral:rRNA from 1 species